GAUAAGAACGCAGCGAAAUGCGAUAAGUAAUGUGAAUUGCAGAAUUCAGUGAAUCAUCGAAUCUUUGAACGCACAUUGCGCCCCCUGGUAUUCCGGGGGGCAUGCCUGUUCGAGCGUCAUUUCACCACUCAAGCCUCGCUUGGUAUUGGGCAACGCGGUCCGCCGCGUGCCUCAAAUCGACCGGCUGGGUCUUCUGUCCCCUAAGCGUUGUGGAAACUUUCGCUAAAGGGUGUUCGGGAGGCUACGCCGUAAAACAACCCCAUUUCUAAGGUUGACCUCGGAUCAGGUAGGGAUACCCGCUGAACUUAAGCAUAUCAAUAAGCGGAGGA
rnacentral:misc_RNA from 1 species